GAUGAACGCUGGCGGCGUGCCUAAUACAUGCAAGUCGAGCGAACGGACGAGAAGCUUGCUUCUCUGAUGUUAGCGGCGGACGGGUGAGUAACACGUGGAUAACCUACCUAUAAGACUGGGAUAACUUCGGGAAACCGGAGCUAAUACCGGAUAAUAUUUUGAACCGCAUGGUUCAAAAGUGAAAGACGGUCUUGCUGUCACUUAUAGAUGGAUCCGCGCUGCAUUAGCUAGUUGGUAAGGUAACGGCUUACCAAGGCAACGAUGCAUAGCCGACCUGAGAGGAUGAUCAGCCACACUGGAACUGAGACACGGUCCAGACUCCUACGGGAGGCAGCAGUAGGGAAUCUUCCGCAAUGGGCGAAAGCCUGACGGAGCAACGCCGCGUGAGUGAUGAAGGUCUUCGGAUCGUAAAACUCUGUUAUUAGGGAAGAACAUAUGUGUAAGUAACUGUGCACAUCUUGACGUUACCUAAUCAGAAAGCCACGGCUAACUACGUG
rnacentral:rRNA from 1 species